UACGUAGGUGGCAAGCGUUGUCCGGAAUUAUUGGGCGUAAAGCGCGCGCAGGUGGUUUCUUAAGUCUGAUGUGAAAGCCCACGGCUCAACCGUGGAGGGUCAUUGGAAACUGGGGAACUUGAGUGCAGAAGAGGAAAGUGGAAUUCCAAGUGUAGCGGUGAAAUGCGUAGAGAUUUGGAGGAACACCAGUGGCGAAGGCGACUUUCUGGUCUGUAACCGACACUGAGGCGCGAAAGCGUGGGGAGCGAACAGG
rnacentral:rRNA from 1 species